UUGUACUUCCUAUGACAGCUU
rnacentral:miRNA from 1 species